UUCACAUUAGAAAGGAAGAAAAACAAAAGAUUUUUAGAGGGUGACAUAAGCAAUAGGAAAACAGAGCAAAACAUUAGAAUAAAAUAGAAAAAAAAAUAGAGCAGAACACUGGACUUUGGGAUUGGAUCUAGGUUCAAAUCCUGAUAGUGACACUGCCUUUUAACCUCUCUUAGCCUCCAUUUUCUCAUCAGUUAAAUGAUUCAGAGUGAAUGUAAACAGCAAUUGUUUCUGGCUGAGAUCUACAACUGCAUCCAGGGCCAUCACCCUGAUCUAUACCUGGCCAUUAGACCAAGAUGACUCCAGACGAGACAAAGAGAAUGCUCAUUCUGGAGAAGGAAACAGCAAACCACUCCAGCCAUCUUUGUCAAGAAACCCCCAGAUGGGAUCAUGAAGAGUCGGGUACAACUAAAUAACAUUAUCAUCUUAGUAGAGUGGGAGAACUCUGCUAUGGUUGUUCUAUUUGUUUUAAACAUCUUUCAUCCCUUUUCCUAAUUCUUUAAUUCUAUAAAAUGGUAAAAUAGAAUAUAACGGAAUAAAACAGAGUAUAACAAA